AUUGAACGCUGGCGGCAGGCCUAACACAUGCGAGUCGAACGGUAACAGGAAGAAGCUUGCUUCUUUGCUGACGAGUGGCGGACGGGUGAGUAAUGUCUGGGAAACUGCCUGAUGGAGGGGGAUAACUACUGGAAACGGUAGCUAAUACCGCAUAACGUCGCAAGACCAAAGAGGGGGACCUUCGGGCCUCUUGCCAUCGGCUGUGCCCAGAUGGGAUUAGCUAGUAGGUGGGGUAACGGCUCACCUAGGCGACGAUCCCUAGCUGGUCUGAGAGGAUGACCAGCCACACUGGAACUGAGACACGGUCCAGACUCCUACGGGAGGCAGCAGUGGGGAAUAUUGCACAAUGGGCGCAAGCCUGAUGCAGCCAUGCCGCGUGUAUGAAGAAGGCCUUCGGGUUGUAAAGUACUUUCAGCGGGGAGGAAGGGAGUAAAGUUAAUACCUUUACUCAUUGACGUUACCCGCAGAAGAAGCACCGGCUAACUCCGUG
rnacentral:rRNA from 1 species